rnacentral:lncRNA from 12 species
CAAUCACUCCAGGUUGUUGAUGAUUGCUUUUUAAAAAAAAUUUUUUUUAUUCCUUCUGCAGAGACUGGGGUCUAUAUAAUUGAGAUUUGGAAUUUCCAAAGUUAAAGAAAGAGAGCCACAUUAAAUAAUUAGAAUGAACAGACACCAUUUAUAUACUCCUAGUCAAAGACCGUAUUAUAUUUAGAUCCGUUUGCAAGUGUUGGCACUGGCUCCAGCUUUUCAGUUCGUGAUGACUUGUGUGAAGAUCAACAGAGAAGCAAGCUUCAGAAUGAGAGAACCAGGCAAUUGAACAAAAUGUGAGUGGGGAAGUGGAAGGAAAGGGAGGUAGAGGGUGUGGUAUGGGAAGA